rnacentral:piRNA from 1 species
CCCUGGUGACCUGCGACAGAGGA